GGAGCAGACUGUACUGAAGUUGAAAAUGUUCAGUCGUUAUGAAGGGAUAACUCAUGUAUAUGCACAUUUUCCUCAAAAGAAUUAAAGUCAGCACAGUGGGACUUCCUCCUAGGAGCACCACUGAGAUGGAACCAUUGGGCUUUGGAAUCUCCUCUAAGGAUCAGAUGGGAUCAUUGGGAUGUUACUGUGAUGCAAAUAAUAAAUGGGACAGUAAUGGUCCCAAACUACAUUAUCACGUUGGAUGAUUAUUGUCAUCCCAUUUCCCCUACAAGUUGAUGCACUGAAAAAUGGUUAAGUGGUUUUCUACUUCUUUUAUUCUCUUUAAUUUGAAGUUUAACUGCUGCCAGAUUGGAUGACCAUGCCACUGAAUCUGUUCAGUUAUUUUUAUCAAACAAACCACGAGUGCUCUGAAGCAGGUUACUCCACCCACAGUGAAAGGAAGAACAGCUGGUGGACUAAGGCCUUGGCUACACUUGAGAGUUACAGUGCAAUAAAGCCACCCACAGUGCUGUAACACUCCCCGUCCACACUGGUAAGGCACGUACAGCGCUGUAUCUCUGUGGCUACAGCGGUGCUUGUACUCCACCUCCCCAAGAGGAAUAAAGAGUAUUGUGCUGCUGCUGCUGUGCUGCGGCGCCAGUGUGGCUACCCAAUGCGCUCUUAUUGGCCUCCAGAAGUAUUCGGCAGUAUCCCACAAUGCCUGUUCUAGCCACUCUGCUCAUCAGUUCGAACUCUGCUGCCCUGGCCUCAGGUGACCAACCGUC